GAGUGAACGCUGGCGGGCGUGCCUAACACAUGCAAGUCGAACGGGUUUCUGCAGUGUAUCGCAGAGAUUAGUGGCAGACGGGUGAGUAUCACAUGGGUCAUUUACCCCUGAGAGGGAAAAUAACCCCGAGAAAUCGGGGCUAAUGUUCCAUAGGACCACAGCCUUUCCUACGAAAAGGCAGGGGUCAAAGCUCCGCAAGGGGCGCUUGGGGAUGAGCCCGUGUCCUAUCCAGCAGUUGGUGAGGUAACGGCCCACCAAGGCUAAGACGGGUAGCCGACCUG
rnacentral:rRNA from 1 species